CCUACGGGGGCAGCAGUGGGGAAUAUUGCACAAUGGGGGGAACCCUGAUGCAGCGACGCCGCGUGAGUGAAGAAGUAUUUCGGUAUGUAAAGCUCUAUCAGCAGGGAAGAAAAUGACGGUACCUGACUAAGAAGCCCCGGCUAACUACGUGCCAGCAGCCGCGGUAAUACGUAGGGGGCAAGCGUUAUCCGGAUUUAUUGGGUUUAAAGGGUGCGCAGGCGGGCUGUUAAGCCGGCGGUAAAAAUUCAGGGCUCAACCCUGUCGAGCCGUCGGAACUGGCAGUCGUGAGUGGGCGAGAAGUAUGCGGAAUGCGUGGUGUAGCGGUGAAAUGCAUAGAUAUCACGCAGAACGCCGAUUGCGAAGGCAGCAUACCGGCGCCCAACUGACGCUGAGGCACGAAAGCGUGGGGAUCGAACAGGAUUAGAUACCCGGGUAGUC
rnacentral:rRNA from 1 species